GACGAACGCUGGCGGCGUGCUUAACGCAUGCAAGUCGAACGGAAAGGCCCUGCUUUUGUGGGGUGCUCGAGUGGCGAACGGGUGAGUAACACGUGAGUAACCUGCCCUUGACUUUGGGAUAACUUCAGGAAACUGGGGCUAAUACCGGAUAGGAGCUCCUGCUGCAUGGUGGGGGUUGGAAAGUUUCGGCGGUUGGGGAUGGACUCGCGGCUUAUCAGCUUGUUGGUGGGGUAGUGGCUUACCAAGGCUUUGACGGGUAGCCGGCCUGAGAGGGUGACCGGCCACAUUGGGACUGAGAUGCGGCCCAGACUCCUACGGGAGGCAGCAGUGGGGAAUAUUGCACAAUGGGCGGAAGCCUGAUGCAGCAACGCCGCGUGCGGGAUGACGGCCUUCGGGUUGUAAACCGCUUUCGCCUGUGACGAAGCGUGAGUGACGGUAAUGGGUAAAGAAGCACCGGCUAACUACGUG
rnacentral:rRNA from 1 species